rnacentral:rRNA from 1 species
AACGAACGCUGGCGGCAGGCUUAACACAUGCAAGUCGAGCGCCCCGCAAGGGGAGCGGCAGACGGGUGAGUAACGCGUGGGAAUCUACCCAUCUCUACGGAAUAACGCAUGGAAACGUGUGCUAAUACCGUAUACGUCCUUCGGGAGAAAGAUUUAUCGGAGAUGGAUGAGCCCGCGUUGGAUUAGCUAGUUGGUGGGGUAAAGGCCUACCAAGGCGACGAUCCAUAGCUGGUCUGAGAGGAUGAUCAGCCACACUGGGACUGAGACACGGCCCAGACUCCUACGGGAGGCAGCAGUGGGGAAUAUUGGACAAUGGGCGCAAGCCUGAUCCAGCCAUGCCGCGUGAGUGAUGAAGGCCCUAGGGUUGUAAAGCUCUUUCACGGGUGAAGAUAAUGACGGUAACCGGAGAAGAAGCCCCGGCUAUCUUCGUGCCAGCAGCCGCCGUAAAAC